UCGGUUUCUAUCUAUGAUAAACUUACACCCAGUACGAAAGGACCGGCAUAAGAAAGCCAAUGCUAAAAGCACGCUUUUACACAACCACCGACAAAACUUAAACCACCCCUAUUUAAACCAAGACAAGGUUAAUUAAGGACACAGCCCUUA
rnacentral:rRNA from 1 species